rnacentral:lncRNA from 1 species
UUUUCUAAAGUCAGAUGAGUUCAUUCUCCAAGACUCCACUCCUGUAACACGACAACACGUAAGUGUUAUAAUCAUAUAAUAAACGUUGGCAUGAAGUGACAUUGUAUUAUAUCAUACUUGAUUAUUAUUUAGUACAACAAAUUUUCAAAUUACAGAAAUAUUAAUAAAUCAGAUUGAUUUUGAAAUGGAAAUAUCAAGAAAAUAAUUCCACUGGAUUGUCUCAAUGAAUCAAAUGUAAAAGGAUUUGAUUUGAUGCCUUAUUUAAUUAAUAAUGGAUGAUGAUGAGUCAAGUUUGGUAGCAAGUUGGAGUUGAGUAAGUUAAAACAUCAUUGCCGACUUGUGUUGCGACAGGAUUGGUCGAAUCUGGAUCAAU